AUGGGCGGCGACGAGCGGCACCUGGGGAGGACCAUGAGCUUCGGGAUCCCGGACGUGGCGCUGGGGCUGGUCAUGGGGUGCGUGGAGGACCCCUGGGACCGCGACGCCAUCUCGCUCGUCUGCCGCCACUGGUGCAAGGUCGACGCGCUCAGCCGCAAGCACGUCACCGUCGCCAUGGCCUACUCCACCACCCCCGACCGCCUCUUCCGCCGCUUCCCCUGCCUCGAGUCGCUCAAGCUCAAGGCCAAGCCCCGCGCCUCCAUGUUCAACCUCAUCCCCGAGGACUGGGGCGGCUCCGCCUCGCCCUGGAUCCGCGAGCUCUCCGCCUCCUUCCACUUCCUCAAGGUGCUGCACCUCCGCCGGAUGAUUGUCUCCGACGACGACGUCGCCGUGCUCGUGCGCGCCAAGGCCCACAUGCUCGUCUCCCUCAAGCUUGACCGCUGCUCCGGCUUCUCCACCUCCUCCCUCGCUCUCCUCGCCCGCUGCUGCAAGAAACUGGAAACGUUGUUUCUUGAAGAAAGUUCUGUUGCUGAGAAAGAAAAUGAUGAAUGGCUCCGCGAGCUUGCUACCAGCAAUACUGUCCUUGAGACGCUGAAUUUCUUUCUGACGGAUCUCAGGGCAUCCCCAGCAUAUCUUUUCCUUCUUGUGCGAAAUUGCCGAAGGCUGAAAACUCUCAAGAUUAGCGACUGUUUCAUGUCUGACCUGGUCGACCUGUUCCGUACAGCAGAAACACUACAAGACUUUGCUGGUGGUUCCUUUGAUGAUCAAGAUCAAGGUGGGAAUUAUGCUAACUACUAUUUCCCUCCUUCGGUACAGCGCUUGAGUUUGCUCUACAUGGGAACAAAUGAGAUGCAGAUAUUAUUUCCAUAUGGUGCCACACUCAAGAAGUUAGACCUUCAGUUUACGUUCCUUACCACAGAGGAUCACUGUCAAUUAGUCCAGCGAUGCCCAAAUCUAGAAGUUUUGGAGGUGAGGGAUGUGAUAGGAGACCGAGGGUUAGAAGUUGUUGCGCGGACCUGCAAGAAAUUACAGCGACUCAGAGUCGAGAGAGGAGACGAUGACCAAGGAGGUCUUGAGGACGAACAGGGUAGAGUGACACAAGUAGGAUUGAUGGCUGUAGCUGAAGGCUGUCCUGAUUUGGAGUACUGGGCAGUACAUGUGUCUGACAUUACAAAUGCAGCUCUUGAGGCCAUUGGUGCGUUCAGCAAAAACCUGAACGAUUUCCGACUUGUCCUGCUUGAUAGAGAGGUGCAUAUAACUGAACUGCCCCUUGACAACGGGGUUCGGGCUUUGCUGAGAGGUUGCACCAAACUCCGGAGGUUUGCAUUUUAUGUGAGACCUGGAGCUCUAUCAGAUAUUGGCCUUUCUUAUGUUGGCGAAUUUGGCAAGACUGUCCGCUACAUGUUGCUUGGGAAUGCUGGGGGAUCUGAUGAUGGACUGCUGGCAUUUGCACGAGGAUGCCCAAGCUUGCAGAAAUUGGAGCUAAGGAGUUGCUGCUUUAGUGAACGUGCAUUGGCAGUUGCAGCCUUACAGCUGAAGUCACUCAGAUAUCUUUGGGUGCAGGGAUACAAGGCAUCUCCUACCGGCACCGAUCUCAUGGCAAUGGUACGCCCCUUCUGGAACAUUGAGUUUAUUGCACCAAAUCAAGAUGAGCCUUGCCCAGAGGGUCAGGCACAGAUUCUGGCAUACUACUCUCUGGCUGGGGCAAGGACAGAUUGUCCUCACUCAGUAAUUCCCCUCUAUCCGUCAGUCGGAAGCUAA
rnacentral:rRNA from 1 species